UCUUUCUCUUUCAGGAGUGUUGCCUCCCGCUAGUCAGGCAGGGUGGAGAGGGGGCCACACAGAAUCCAGUGACACCUCAGCUCAAGUGUUCAGCGUCCUCUUCCAGUUUCAUCAUUAACAAGUGGAUUUCGUAAGGAUGAAUGUCAGGCCGCUGACGUUAAUUCACGGACUCACCUCAGACUUGUGGAGAUAAAAUCUGUUUGCCGGAGGUUGAUCUCAUAGCUUUACUGCUUGUAUCUUCCUUAUUGUAAGUUGUAAGGAUUGUUGACAGAAGUACAAUAAACUUGAGCAACUUUUA
rnacentral:misc_RNA from 1 species